CCUACGGGCGGCUGCAGUGGGGAAUAUUGCACAAUGGGCGCAAGCCUGAUGCAGCCAUGCCGCGUGUGUGAAGAAGGCCUUCGGGUUGUAAAGCACUUUCAGCGGGGAGGAAGGCGGUGAGGUUAAUAACCUCAUCGAUUGACGUUACCCGCAGAAGAAGCACCGGCUAACUCCGUGCCAGCAGCCGCGGUAAUACGGAGGGUGCAAGCGUUAAUCGGAAUUACUGAGCGUAAAGCGCACGCAGGCGGUCUGUCAAGUCGGAUGUGAAAUCCCCGGGCUCAACCUGGGAACUGCAUUCGAAACUGGCAGGCUAGAGUCUUGUAGAGGGGGGUAGAAUUCCAGGUGUAGCGGUGAAAUGCGUAGAGAUCUGGAGGAAUACCGGUGGCGAAGGCGGCCCCCUGGACAAAGACUGACGCUCAGGUGCGAAAGCGUGGGGAGCAAACAGGAUUAGAUACCCGAGUAGUC
rnacentral:rRNA from 1 species